rnacentral:rRNA from 1 species
UGGCCUUGACAUAGUAAGAACCUAAUAGAGAUAUAAGGGUGCUAGUUUACUAGAGCUUACAUAC